CACGAGGGACGUGGCAACAUCGACGUGCAGGAGGCAGCUGAGGGCUGAGACCUUUGCAAGGGUGAGACUGGAAAGUCUGGAAAACUUCUUGCCUCAACUGGAAGAGACCAGCAACAAAUAGAAAAAUAAAGGUGCCGAAGCUCUUGGGACCUGUGGGGAGCGAAUUCCAGAAAAAAGGAACCUCAUCUGCACCCCGAAUUCAGCUGCUUUCCCCAGGAACACACCCGGUGUGCCUCAGCUCCCACCCCGUGGCUUUGCCAAGGAUUUGCCAAGGAUUUGCCAAGGAUUUAUCCUCCAACACGGAGGAAACAGCUCUGGAACCCUCCCUGUGCGGGCUGGAGGCUUCGAGAGAGAGCAGCCAGAUAUUUUCCCCAAUUCUCAUCUGGAGCAAGACUUCAACUUCUCGUGAGAUAAAAAAGGAAAAGAAUAAAACAGGAAGGAGCAGCCUCGAGUGAUGCUCAGCGCCUUUGGCUGCUUUUAUCAGGGCUGAUCUCCCCCUCAUAUUGGCAAUUUCAGGAGGGAACAUUCACUGCUCGUGUAUUCCAUUUCUCCUUUUCCAGCUGCUGAAGCCCAGCUCCAAAUGAAACCCUCCAGAACACUUUUCUCCCUUCAUACACAACCAGAAACUCCCCCAGGAACCAGCCAGGUCCCCCCUGGAAUAGAAUUUCCAAGGAAAAGGCGAGUGGGUGAUGAUGGCUCCCAGUGUAUCACAGACUUUUUGUUAUUUGCAGGAGCACCCAGGAAAGAUUUGCAGGGACCAGAGGAAAACAAGAUGCAAUUAUGUAAAAUGGGAUAAACUGGGAAGGUUUGCAUUUGGCUUGAGCAGAAUCCCGUUUUCAAGAAUGUAUUUUUAUAUCAUUCUUCUCCUAGACCACUAAAACAGUGGAAUAUAGAGGAGGUUUGGAGGUAAAAAUUGGCUGGAGCCACAUUUUAAAUGGAACUGAGCUUCCAAUGGAAUGAAGGGUUUAAACUUUUCUAAGAUCUGACAGUUGUGGUGCUCCACAAUUUAUCUUUCCCUGCAUUUUCCUUUCUCUCCCGAAGUGAUUUCCCUCUGGAAUAUUUGCAGCACCACUGCUGCAACCAAUAAUUGCAACUAAGAACAAAUAAUUGAUGUGAAAUGGGGAUUGUGGUGAACAAUCACUUGGCAGAGGUUAUUUUAAUGAACACAUCACUGCAAUCAGCCUUGCACCAUCUGCU